ensembl:misc_RNA 7SK 7SK RNA
GGAUGUGAGAGCAAUCUAGCUGUGAUAUCUGUCACCCCGUUGAUCGACAGGGUUGAUGUUGCUUAUCUGGCUGGCUAGGCAUGUGUCUUCUUCCUCCCUCACCACUCCAAGAGGAUGAUCUUCCCUGGACAGAGACGGACCAGUCUUCAGUUGAGGGUAUACCAGUUGCUGUGUUACCCUGCUAGAACCUGCAAACAAGCUUUCAAGGCCCAUUAGUUAGAGUUAUUAUUAAGUAGCAGUCAUAUAUGAGUGAAAACUUCUGAGAAAAUGUGCUAGUAAAGUUUU